rnacentral:rRNA from 1 species
GAUGAACGCUGGCGGCGUGCCUAAUACAUGCAAGUCGAGCGAACGGACGAGAAGCUUGCUUCUCUGAUGUUAGCGGCGGACGGGUGAGUAACACGUGGAUAACCUACCUAUAAGACUGGGAUAACUUCGGGAAACCGGAGCUAAUACCGGAUGAUAUUUUGAACCGCAUGGUUCAAAAGUGAAAGACGGUCUUGCUGUCACUUAUAGAUGGAUCCGCGCUGCAUUAGCUAGUUGGUAAGGUAACGGCUUACCAAGGCAACGAUGCAUAGCCGACCUGAGAGGGUGAUCGGCCACACUGGAACGUAGACACGGUCCAGACUCCUACGGGAGGCAGCAGUAGGGAAUCUUCCGCAAUGGGCGAAAGCCUGACGGAGCAACGCCGCGUGAGUGAUGAAGGUCUUCGGAUCGUAAAACUCUGUUAUUAGGGAAGAACAUAUGUGUAAGUAACUGUGCACAUCUUGACGGUACCUAAUCAGAAAGCCACGGCUAACUACGUG